AAACAUUGAAAAGCUCUGCAAAACUGGAGGCAACUAAAAUCACAAUUUCAUCAAUUUUUCUGAGAGUGAUCUUAAAUUUCAAAGUUCUAAGCAUAGGCUACAAUUCAUCUAAGGUUAAAAAAUGGCUUGAAUCUUCCAUGUGUUUUAGUAGUCGAGGUUCCAGAAGUUGUUGGGGACAGUUUUGAGUUUAAUUGGGUCCAUUCGAGCAUGGUUUUGGUGGUUUGCAAGUGUUGUUCAUUUACAAUUAAUCCUUGGUUCGGUUGAUAUUAUUUCCUAGGUUUUUUAAAUUGAUCUUAUUGCUGUUGUAUGUUGCUGCCUAGCUGACCUCGAAUUCCAUGUGCAUUGUUCUAAUUCCAGGUACAUUUUCUGGUCUCAAGUGAUGUAUGAAGAUUGAACCAAAUGAACCCUCAAGUCUGAAGUUAAUUGCUACCUGUUUUCCUAUGAAUUCCCUACUGUUUCC
rnacentral:lncRNA from 1 species